CUCAUACCGGAAACGUGUUACACCCAAAGGUGUCACUGUCAGUAAAAACUUGAUCUAGAUCUAGAACUUAUAGAUCCAGGCAAAUUGGAUCUAUCUUUAUUCUUUAGAUUCUAGAAUUACACCAGCCGGAGAUAAUAAAUAUUCACACAUUCUAGAUUAACUGACGUAAAGCUUCUCAAUUUUGAAAUGACUGUGGUGAAUGUCCACGUGGAAUAUUGUGGAGGGUGAGGCUAUGGACCUCGGUUCCAGAAACUGCACAGUGAUAUCCUGAAGCAGUUUUCUGAAUCCGAGGUCAGCAUAGUUGGAGUUGUUGGGCGCUCUUCUUCUUUUGAGGUAACAGUCAACAAUCAGUUAAUCUUCUCUAAGUUGAAGCAGGGUGGUUUUCCCAAAGCUCAUGAUGUUGUUAAGAGUAUCCAGUCAGCUCAAAAGGGAGAAACCUACAUGAUCACUGAGGUGGAGCCUUCUAGAUGCAGCAUAUUGUAAUAUGUUGUAGACCUUCUGGGUGCAGCAUAUUGUAAUCUGUUGUAGACCUUCUGGGUGCAGCAUAUUGUAAUAUGUUGUAGACCUUCUGGGUGCAGCAUAUUGUAAUAUGUUGUAGACCUUAUGGGUGCAGCAUAUUAUAAUCUGUUGUAGACCUUCUGGGUGCAGCAUAUUGUAAUAUGUUGUAGACCUUAUGGGUGCAGCAUAUUGUAAUAUGUUGUAGACCUUCUGGGUGCAGCAUAUUGUAAUAUGUUGUAGACCUUCUGGGUGCAGCAUAUUGUAAUCUGUUGUAGAUCUAUGGGUGCAGCAUAUGUAUUGUAAACACAUUUAAUUUUACCUUGACUCUACUACUAUUUACAAAACAUUUGAAACCCAGCUCAACAAGCAGGCUUUUAAAAUCUUGUAUAACUGUCACAUGAAGUCCUUGUUUCAACACUUGAAAUAACCAGCAGGCCACAGAUGAUGGGCCAUGCCAGAAACUCCAGGCAUGGCUCGGAUGGUUUGGGCCAGUUUCAAGUGUUGAGCUCAUUGAUAUUCUUGUGCUCAACUUCUCACAUUUUAUACAUUACUCUACUUGCUAAAUUAUACAUAGUCUCAUUUUAAUUUGAAAUUACUUUGUUUACUUAUUUCUACAAAAGAAGUAAAAGGAGUCAUUUCAUCUUAAUUAUUAUUUACUUAUGCUAAAGUGAUAACAUAAUUUAAACAGUUUUGCAAUUCUUUUAAAAUGAUCUCAAUUGUUAAAGUUCUGGUAAUAAUAAAAAGAUUUUGUA